rnacentral:rRNA from 1 species
AACGGCCAUAGCAUGUUGAAUAUACCGGUUCUCGUUAGAUCACCGAAGUCAAGCAUCAUUGGGCGCGGUCUGUACUUGGGUGGGUGACCACCUGGGAACACCGCGUGCCGUU